rnacentral:rRNA from 1 species
GAUGAACGCUGGCGGCGUGCCUAAUACAUGCAAGUCGAGCGAACAGACGAGGAGCUUGCUCCUCUGACGUUAGCGGCGGACGGGUGAGUAACACGUGGAUAACCUACCUAUAAGACUGGGAUAACUUCGGGAAACCGGAGCUAAUACCGGAUAAUAUAUUGAACCGCAUUGUUCAAUAGUGAAAUACGGUUUUUCUUUCGCUUAUAGAUUGAUCCGCGCCGCAUUAGCUAGUUGGUAAGGUAACGGCUUACCAAGGCGACGAUGGGUAGCCGACCUGAGAGCGUGGACGGCCACCCUGGAACUGAGACACGGCCCAGACUCCGACGGUGGGCAGCAGUAGGGAAUCUUCCGCAAGGGGGGAAAGCCUGACGGAGCAACGCCGCGUGAGUGAUGAAGGUCUUCGGAUCGUAAAACUCUGUUAUUAGGGAAGAACAAAUGUGUAAGUAACUAUGCACGUCUUGACGGUACCUAAUCAGAAAGCCACGGCUAACUACGUG